GCCACCAGUGCAGGAGAGACUGCCCGGAUCUGAUCCAGCGGCAGCGCCGAAGGGGAAUCGCCCCAGAAACUCUCAGGCAAAAGAACUGCACUGGUCAG
rnacentral:ncRNA from 2 species